rnacentral:hammerhead_ribozyme from 1 species
CUGCCACUGAGGAGUCCCAUAAUAGGACGAAACGACCGUCAAAGCAG